UCAGGACGAACGCUGGCGGCGUGCCUAAUACAUGCAAGUCGAACGCUUCUUUUUCCACCGGAGCUUGCUCCACCGGAAAAAGAGGAGUGGCGAACGGGUGAGUAACACGUGGGUAACCUGCCCAUCAGAAGGGGAUAACACUUGGAAACAGGUGCUAAUACCGUAUAACAAUCGAAACCGCAUGGUUUUGAUUUGAAAGGCGCUUUCGGGUGUCGCUGAUGGAUGGACCCGCGGUGCAUUAGCUAGUUGGUGAGGUAACGGCUCACCAAGGCCACGAUGCAUAGCCGACCUGAGAGGGUGAUCGGCCACAUUGGGACUGAGACACGGCCCAAACUCCUACGGGAGGCAGCAGUAGGGAAUCUUCGGCAAUGGACGAAAGUCUGACCGAGCAACGCCGCGUGAGUGAAGAAGGUUUUCGGAUCGUAAAACUCUGUUGUUAGAGAAGAACAAGGAUGAGAGUAACUGUUCAUCCCUUGACGGUAUCUAACCAGAAAGCCACGGCUAACUACGUGCCAGCAGCCGCGGUAAUACGUAGGUGGCAAGCGUUGUCCGGAUUUAUUGGGCGUAAAGCGAGCGCAGGCGGUUUCUUAAGUCUGAUGUGAAAGCCCCCGGCUCAACCGGGGAGGGUCAUUGGAAACUGGGAGACUUGAGUGCAGAAGAGGAGAGUGGAAUUCCAUGUGUAGCGGUGAAAUGCGUAGAUAUAUGGAGGAACACCAGUGGCGAAGGCGGCUCUCUGGUCUGUAACUGACGCUGAGGCUCGAAAGCGUGGGGAGCAAACAGGAUUAGAUACCCUGGUAGUCCACGCCGUAAACGAUGAGUGCUAAGUGUUGGAGGGUUUCCGCCCUUCAGUGCUGCAGCUAACGCAUUAAGC
rnacentral:rRNA from 1 species